rnacentral:rRNA from 1 species
GACGAACGCUGGCGGCGUGCUUAACACAUGCAAGUCGAACGGAAAGGCCCUGCUUUUCCGGGGUGCUCGAGUGGCGAACGGGUGAGUAACACGUGAGUAACCUGCCCUUGACUUUGGGAUAACUUCGGGAAACUGGGUCUAAUACCGGAUAGGAUCUCCUGCUGCAUGGUGGGGGUGGGAAAGUUUCGGCGGUUGGGGAUGGCCUCGCGGCUUAGCAGCUUGUUGGUGGGGUAGUGGCUUACCAAGGCUUUGACGGGUAGCCGGCCUGAGAGGGUGACCGGCCACAUUGGGACUGAGAUACGGCCCAGACUCCUACGGGAGGCAGCAGUGGGGAAUAUUGCACAAUGGGCGGAAGCCUGAUGCAGCAACGCCGCGUGCGGGAUGACGGCCUUCGGGUUGUAAACCGCUUUCGCCUGUGACGAAGCGAGAGUGACGGUAAUGGGUAAAGAAGCACCGGCUAACUACGUG